GUCUGUGGUUAUACCACCUUGGGUCCACAGAUCUUGUCUGCUCUUCGAAGCCAAUCAGGGUCAGCCUGGUUGGGACCUGUUUGGGAAUAGGAAGUGAAAGCCACUAGGAAUAUCGGGUGCUAUAGACA
ensembl:rRNA predicted gene, 25447